UACGAAGGGGGCUAGCGUUGCUCGGAAUCACUGGGCGUAAAGCGCGCGUAGGCGGGUCUUUAAGUCAGGGGUGAAAUCCUGGAGCUCAACUCCAGAACUGCCUUUGAUACUGAGGGUCUCGAGUCCGGGAGAGGUGAGUGGAACUGCGAGUGUAGAGGUGAAAUUCGUAGAUAUUCGCAAGAACACCAGUGGCGAAGGCGGCUCACUGGCCCGGUACUGACGCUGAGGUGCGAAAGCGUGGGGAGCAAACAGG
rnacentral:rRNA from 1 species